GACAGAGGGUGCAAACGUUGUUCGGAAUUACUGGGCGUAAAGCGCGUGUAGGCGGCUUUGCAAGUCGGGUGUGAAAGCCCUCAGCUCAACUGAGGAAGUGCGCCCGAAACUGCAGAGCUUGAGUGCCGGAGAGGGUGGCGGAAUUCCCCAAGUAGAGGUGAAAUUCGUAGAUAUGGGGAGGAACACCGGUGGGCGAAGGCGGCCACCUGGACGGUAACUGACGGCUGAGACGCGAAAGCGUGGGGAGCAAACAGG
rnacentral:rRNA from 1 species